rnacentral:rRNA from 1 species
GACGAACGCUGGCGGCGUGCUUAACACAUGCAAGUCGAACGGAAAGGCCCUGCUUUUGUGGUGUUCUCGAGUGGCGAACGGGUGCGUAACACGUGAGUAACCUGCCCUUGACUUUGGGAUAACUUCAGGAAACUGGGGCUAAUACCGUAUAGGAGCUCCUGCUGCAUGGUGGGGGUUGGAUAUUUUCGGCGGUUGGGGAUGGACUCGCGGCUUAUCAGCUUGUUGGUGGGGUAGUGGCUUACCAAGGCUUUGACGGGUAGCCGGCCUGAGAGGGUGAACGGGCACAUUGGGACUGAGAGACGGCCCAGACUCCUACGGGAGGCAGCAGUGGGGAAUAUUGCACAAUGGGCGGAAGCCUGAUGCAGAAACGCCGCGUGCGGGAUGACGGCCUGCGGGUUGUAAACAGCUUUAGCCUGUGACGAAGCGUGAGUGACGGUAAUGGGUAAAGAAGCACCGGCUAACUACGUG